UGGGGAAUAUUGCACAAUGGGGGAAACCCUGAUGCAGCGACGCCGCGUGGAGGAAGAAGGUCUUCGGAUUGUAAACUCCUGUUGUUGAGGAAGAUAAUGACGGUACUCAACAAGGAAGUGACGGCUAACUACGUGCCAGCAGCCGCGGUAAAACGUAGGUCACAAGCGUUGUCCGGAAUUACUGGGUGUAAAGGGAGCGCAGGCGGGAAGACAAGUUGGAAGUGAAAUCUAUGGGCUCAACCCAUAAACUGCUUUCAAAACUGUUUUUCUUGAGUAGUGCAGAGGUAGGCGGAAUUCCCGGUGUAGCGGUGGAAUGCGUAGAUAUCGGGAGGAACACCAGUGGCGAAGGCGGCCUACUGGGCACCAACUGACGCUGAGGCUCGAAAGUGUGGGUAGCAAACAGGAUUAGAUACCCCGGUAGUCCACACCGUAAACGAUGAUUACUAGGUGUUGGAGGAUUGACCCCUUCAGUGCCGCAGUUAACACAAUAAGUAAUCCACCUGGGGAGUACGACCGCAAGGUUGAAACUCAAAGGAAUUGACGGGGGCCCGCACAAGCAGUGGAGUAUGUGGUUUAAUUCGACGCAACGCGAAGAACCUUACCAAGUCUUGACAUCCUGCGACGAUGCUGGAAACAGUAUUUUCCUUCGGGACACAGAGACAGGUGGUGCAUGGUUGUCGUCAGCUCGUGUCGUGAGAUGUUGGGUUAAGUCCCGCAACGAGCGCAACCCUUACUGUCAGUUACUACGCAAGAGGACUCUGGCAGGACUGCCGUUGACAAAACGGAGGAAGGUGGGGAUGACGUCAAAUCAUCAUGCCCUUUAUGACUUGGGCUACACACGUACUACAAUGGCGUUAAACAAAGAGAAGCAAGACCGCGAGGUGGAGCAAAACUCAGAAACAACGUCCCAGUUCGGACUGCAGGCUGCAACUCGCCUGCACGAAGUCGGAAUUGCUAGUAAUCGUGGAUCAGCAUGCCACGGUGAAUACGUUCCC
rnacentral:rRNA from 1 species